CAGUAGCCGCGGUAAUACGAAGGGGGCUAGCGUUGCUCGGAAUGACUGGGCGUAAAGGGCGCGUAGGCGGUUUAUACAGUCAGAUGUGAAAUUCUGGGCUCAACCUGGGGACUGCAUUUGAUACGUAUGGACUUGAGUGGAGAAGAGGGUCGUGGAAUUUCCAGUGUAGAGGUGAAAUUCGUAGAUAUUGGAAAGAACACCGGUGGCGAAGGCGGCGACCUGGUCUUUAACUGACGCUGAGGCGCGAAAGCGUGGGGAGCAAACAGGAUUAGAUACCCGCGUAGUCCCUGUCUCUUAUACA
rnacentral:rRNA from 1 species